GACAAACGCUGGCGGUAUGCCUAACACAUGCAAGUCGAACGGACAGAACAGGGAAGCUUUUCGGAGUGGAACUGGAAAGUUAGUGGCGGAUGGGUGAGUAACGCGUGGACAACCUACCUUGUAAAGGGGAAUAACCUCGAGAAAUCGAAGCUAAUACCCCAUAAUAACCUUGCUUCGCAUGAAGUAAGGAGGACAGGCGGCCUUAGCGCUGUCGAUACAAGAUGGGUCCGCGUCUGAUUAGCUAGUUGGUGAGGUAAGGGCUCACCAAGGCGACGAUCAGUAGCCGGCCUGAGAGGGUGAACGGCCACAUUGGGACUGAGACACGGCCCAAACUCCUACGGGAGGCAGCAGUGGGGAAUCUUCCGCAAUGGGCGAAAGCCUGACGGAGCAAUGCCGCGUGAGUGAAGAAGGCCUUCGGGUUGUAAAACUCUGUCCUUAUCGAAGAGAGAGUGUUGUAGUAACUGACAAUACUAGGACGGUAGAUGAGGAGGAAGCCCCGGCUAACUAUGUG
rnacentral:rRNA from 1 species